rnacentral:pre_miRNA from 1 species
GAUGUACUCCCUCCGUCCGGAAAUACUUGUCAUCAAAAUGAAUAAAAGGGGAUGUAUCUAGAUGUAUUUUAGUUCUAAAUACAUCCCUUUUUGUCCAUUUUGAUGACAAGUAUUUUCGGACGGAGGGAGUACUAC